UGUAUGCUGUAGAUUUUCCAAUUUUACUAUAAAUCACUCUGUUCUUGGUAGGGAAAACUCUUAGUGAAAGCAAGCAAUCAAGCAAGCAAGCAAGAAAGAAAGAAAGAGAGAGAAAGGGCGAUAGCUUUGCAAGUGGAUUUCAUAUGAUAGAGACAUUUUUGGAGGAAGGUUUCUAUUGUGUGGUUUUUCAAACAAAGUAGAGUUUAUUUAUGGUGUGACUGAUUGAACACUACUGAACUAGUCCAUCAUCUGCUAAUUUGGUCCAAUUAAAAAUUGGUCAUCAGAAAAAACCUGGGAAUUAAACUAAUUUUGAAGUAC
rnacentral:lncRNA from 1 species